CAGUGUGGAGCUGAAGGAGAUCCACACAUGUAAACAUUGAAACAGCAGAGGAUCUGUUCACAGUCAGAACUGUUACAGAGCUCCAUCCUGAAAUGGGUGUUUGGAGAUGAGGGUGAGAGUCACACUGAACAUGAACAGAGCAGCAGCUCCAGAAGGUAAAUUGAGGCGUGUCUGCUAAUUAUAUGUAAAUGAGGUACUCGUGUACAGGCGCUUGUUUCCACCUCUGAAGAUUCAUCAGUUGAGCUCAAAUCAGAGCUUGUCUCUGUUUUCUUACUCCAGUUUCCUGAAUCAGAUUCAGAGUAGUCUGUCCUUCAUUCAGGGCGGUCAGAUCUGAGCUCUUCUCUACACAAGUUUGAUGAAUAAGGACACAAUGUGAAUGAUGUCCAGCACUGUUCUUUACACUGCAGUCCACUCAGGCAGUCUGAGAAUGAAUGAGCAUUGUGAGGUCCUGCCUGUGUGGAUCAGAGCUCUUUUAAUGAUGGACAGACUCUACUGAAGCUCUACCAGCUCCUGUUUGUGGAGGAUUAGUAGGUUAGUAGGCAGGUUAGUUAGGGUUCUUGUGAAAUGUGUGAUGAACCAAGUAGGGCAGUUUUCUCAUCAUGCCCUGUGAAAAUAAUAGCUUUGGAGGUCAGUGCUACACUUUCUCUCAAAGGAAUAUUACACUACUUUAUUAUAGUAGCCCUUUGGAUUAUUAGGUUACUGUUUAUAUUAUUAACAGGUGGUCAGUAUCUGUACUGGACUACAUUUUAAAGUGACCCUCUCAGCCCUGUUAGUCACACUAGUUCAUACAGUCUGUUCACUGAACCAGGUUUAUGGAGUAAGACUCUGAAAUGAUUUCUGCAUGUUUAAAUUGUUUUUUUUUAAUCUAAAUAUUGUAUGUAAAUAUUGUCUUUAAUACAUUUCACACACACAGUGUGAGAAUAUGAACAGUAACUAAUUCUACAAACAGCUGCUACCUUGAAAACAGAUCAACACCUGCUGAUUUUCUCUUCAUGUGUGCUCGUGUUCAUUCUUAAUCUUCUCUGUUUACAGAAAGGCAAGAACUGAGAAGAGAAAGGACAGUAAAGGAAGAGCUGAUGAGAGCAGUGGAAGAACUGAUAAGAGAAAGGACAGUAAAGGAAGAACUGAUGAGAGAAAGGACAGUAAAGGAAGAACUGAUGAGAGCAGUGGAAGAACUGAACACAGAAAACGAAGAACUGUAAGGAGGGACAUAUCAUUAGGAGAAGUCAGAAGAGAAGCAGUGUGAUGACUUGUCGGUGGCGAUGGGUUUGCUGAAUUAAAGAGGCCUACAGGACUCGUAGAAGAAUAUAACAGAUGUCUGAACUCUUUAAAUAUUUUUAAUUAUUUUUACUGUCUGAAAUGUUUUUAAGGCUGUUUUUCUAUUUGAACCUUUUCAGUGUUUUAUGUCGACUCAGAUCUCUGAGUCAUGGUUUUCACUUUAUAUGUGAAAACAUGAAGCUCAGAAUCUCAGACUCUGUCUCACACACACACCGACACACACACACACACACACA